ensembl:lncRNA
CUAUAGAAGACAGCGCGCUAGCGUAUCUAGUCUAUGUAUAUCUAUGGUCGGCACGUCUGGUAGCAUCUGUGGCUGCUGUUGAUCUUGUUUUUGGAGUAAAACACGGUGGAAGCUGAAUUAGUGAGGAUGACUCCUGCUCCUGUCAUCUCUAAGCUCCUCACACAUCUUUACCUGCACAUGAGGAAAAUCACUCCUGUAGAAUGCAGUGGUUCAUCAGAACCUCUGGGGUGUCCUGUGGAUUCUGUGGGUCCUGUGGGUUGCAGGGUGGGUCCUACCUAGACCAGGCUGAUCCUGGACCAUCCCACAGAUGCUCCAUCAGAUCUGGAUGUGGGGAGUGUGGAACCCAGAUGUUCAGAGGGAGAUGAUGCCACAUCUGGUCCAGCUGAUGGAAGGUCUUGAAGUUCUCUGACUGGCCUCGACUGAAGAUGGUCGUCUCACUGGAUUUAAGGUUCAGAUGCUCAGUAACAAACUCCAUCAAUGUGCCAACAGGGAAGCUUUAGGUUUAUUAAAUGUUGCUAUGAAGGUUUCGCUGUUUUUCUUUGUGAAUGCAAUGUGCUCCAACUGAAACUUGAAUUAGAACUUAGAAGUAAAUCCUUCCAUCUGCAUCAGCAGCUUUUCUAUCUCAGUUCAUUCUGACAUUCAGCUAUGAAUCAACACAGCAGAUGGUGAUCCAUGCUGUGGAAGUCUCACAUCUCCUGAUUUAAUGGAGCUGCUUUGCACUUUUUACACUGUUUAUUCACCAACACUUUAUUUAAUAAAAGUCCCAUCUAGUUUUUAUGAGGAAUGUGAUGUUUUAAUUUCUCUGUGAAUAACUGCAGUCUAAUGCAACAGCUGGAGUUGUAACAUCUGUCCUGAUAUUGAUCAUGAAGUAUUGAUCAGAAUACUUAUGGUGAGCAGUUAUCCCUUAAGUUUUACAUUAAAAUCUUUACUUGUGUUGUGAACUUUGGUAAGAAGCAGAAAUGUUAGCGUUGCCAUGGAUACAUGAGUGUUAAAUUCUGUCCAUGUUUCCAUUUUGGGAAAUUCAGUCCAGUUCCAGAAUGUGGAGGAAUUUAGUCUCACAAUCACAGACAACAAAUAUUAUCUGAAAGUUGGGUUAUUGUUGUUUAUCAGCACAAUACAAAAAGAUUAAUGUUAGAAAUAUUCCAGUUAAGUCUCUAGAAUAUCAUGAUUUAUGGAAAUUUACCUCAAUAAUAUGAAUGUUCAGGUCAAGAUUGUACAGUGAUAUUUAUUAUGUAAGUUUAGCUGAUUAAAGUUUAUGACUCUGCACUAAAAUAUUAUUUAAAUUGACAUCAUUAUUAUAAUAUUUAGGCUCAGACCCUACAGUAUUGAGAUUAAGAAAUCAAAUAUUCUAUAAAAUGUAAAUACACUGAACUCAUUUGGAUAUAUUUAAGUGAGACUCUACAAUAUUAUUUGACACAAAUCUAUCUAAAUCAAAAUUUUAAUAAUUUUCACACCAAACAUUUACUGGACUGAUUUAAAUAUUAAAAUCACUCCUUUCUAAUCCUCUGCUGUAUGUUCAAACCUGAGGCCUUAAAUAGAAACACACAAGUAUCUGUUUGAAGGAACUUCUGCAGAGUCCUGGUUCCAGAACAUGAUGAUAGAAUUAUAGACAAACUUUAACAAAAGCUGCCUGAGAGUUUACAGGUUUUUAUGUUGGAUUUCUUCAGUAAUUUAAUGAGAGUUAUCAGCAAUAUUCAAGUGUUCAUUUGAUGAACUUCAUUUCCUAAAACAUCCAGAAUUGAAGCUCAUAUCUUUGGCAGCUGUAAAGUUUCUGCUCCUUCAAAGUUCACAACACAAUGAAUUAAUUCCUAAAACACUCUCAAUGCUGGAGAGCGUUUGUGAUGCUGAAGCAGUGAUCAGUUUUUCUGUUUCUUCUCUGGAGAUGCACAAUGAGGGACGUCUGCAGAGACUGAGAAAGAGUCUCACCACAUCCUGACAUGAGGAAAAAGACUUUAUUGAAGACUACAAUGAGAAAAACUAUCAGACAGCAGACGGCUGCAUUCAAGUCUGGAGCUGCUGAAUUCAUGGAUGAAUCAUCUGGCACUAGAGAAGAAGACCAUCAAACAUCCACGUCAGCUGAUGGAGGUCCAAGAGUGUCACCAAACAAACAACCUACAGAGUGAAGACCUCCAAUCUGAUUGGACGGCCUCCUAUUCAGCCACAUGUGUGAACAAAUGCCUCUAAGCUGAUUUGUUUUCUAAAAUAAAUCUAGUUUGAGUCCUAAUCUAUGCCUGUGUGUUUGCUUCUUUAUGCUGCUGUUAACAGUUUAGGCUGUUAGAUUGUUCCAGAUAAGACAAGUACAAGAUUCUUCAGAGCCGUUCUACCACGAGCCUGACAGGAAGAACUCCAACAGCUACUGAAUGUUCCUGUGGUUCCCUCAAGGCUACAGGAGGAGUCCUACGAGGACGAGCCGGUCCACCUGAUGGCGGCCAGUCGCUGCAGUUCAAAGCCAACACCGACUACGUGGACUUCUACUGGACCACACGGAGGCCUUCAAACUGGACCAACAAGUUCAGCGACUCCCCGACUCGUGGGUCUGAGGACGCUGCCGAGCCUCGGCUCAGCCGGCCUCCUGUCUGUGGGUGUUUGAGUGCUGAGAGGUUUGUGGAUGCAUGUGAACGUGUCUGUGUUGAAACAGCAGCUUUGGACUCACUAACGCUGGGAAAAACCAAGAGCUCCUUUAUUUGUGACUUCCACUAAAAAGCUGAAGAAAAUAAGUUUGCCAGGG